rnacentral:rRNA from 1 species
UACGUAGGGCGCAAGCGUUGUCCGGAAUUAUUGGGCGUAAAGAGCUCGUAGGCGGCCUGUCGCGUCCGCUGUGAAAUCCCAGGGCUUAACCCUGGGCGUGCAGUGGAUACGGGCUGGCUGGAGGCAGGCAGGGGAGAACGGAAUUCCCGGUGUAGCGGUGAAAUGCGCAGAUAUCGGGAAGAACACCCGUGGCGAAGGCGGCACUCUGGGACGGUACUGACGCUGAGACGCGAAAGCGUGGGGAGCGAACAGG